CUGAUACCACUUGUUGUGCGGAAGCGUCAACCAACUGCGAGUGAAAAAUAAAUAACAACAGGCAGGAGAAAAAUUGAACAAAAUAAUCAACAAGAACAACACCAAGAUUUAUACUUGUUCGGCAAUUGCCUACAUCCAGUUUGGAGACGACGGAGUAUUCCACUAUAAUCAAUGAGAGAAUACAAUAGUGUUUAACCACUCAGAAAACCCAAGCCCCAAAUAUAUACCCAAGCUCACACACUCAAGAAUAUAAAGGGGAUACAAAUUGAGUACAAUUUAGAGAGGGAAAAAUAACCAACAGUAGCAACAAAAACUUAGUUGCCCAAACUAUUAUUUUUCUCUCUCCCAACUUCUUUCUUCUCUCAUCAACUCUCGGUGCUUUUUUUUGCUCUUACAUUUUUCCCAAAUGCAUGUUCCCUUUUAUAAGCCAAACAUUUGCUCUUCAACCACCCAACGGCAAAAGCAAAACACACAAGUCAAAAGGUAAAAGUAAGCCAUCAAUGCUAGCCAUUAAUUUGUCUCCAAUUUGUCUGCUAGCCGAAAGCACCGAAAGCAGUUUUGCUUUUGACUAUUUUUGAGCCAAUCAAGCCGAAAGCAGUUUUGCUUUUGAC
rnacentral:lncRNA from 1 species